rnacentral:lncRNA from 1 species
GAAGAUGCUCUGAGUGUGACUUCCUGAGUGUGGGUUGUUUGGGAUCUCCUCUAGCCCUUAGCUCGAUGGCACAGGGCUCCCCAGCACAGAUAGAAUGGCAUAGACCCAGCCCCUGGGAGGUUGCUUGAGUGAUGGAAAGAGCAAAGAGAUGGUAGCUUUUCUGAAUUUCUGUUUCCUUCUGGGUGAAUGGUGACAUUAACAGAACAAUUCACAAGGUGCAGGGUGGCUCAAGAAUAGAAUUCAUGGCUGAGGCAGGAGGAUCAUGGAGAAUUCUAGACCUGCCUGCCCUACAUAGUGAGUUCAUGCCAGUGUGAGAUUAUGUCUCAAAACAAACAGCAAAACCCAAAAGACAUCAUCUGUCAUUGGCAGGGGGUUCUGAGGGUCCAAUUUGCUUAUGACAUGUUUUAGUUUACCUGGACCCAGAACACCGUAAGUUGAGGUUGUAGUUGCCUAAAAAUGGAGGUGGUAGCUAGCUAGAGUUGAGGGCCUUGGUGUCUGUAGAGGGAAGGCAUCAUAUGGAAGGUCUGGGGUGGCUUCUGAGGACCUGAAGGAAGACAAGUGAGCAGACUGUGGCCCAAGGUCUCAGUGAGUGCAAUGUGUGGAACAGGAGCCUCUGAGAUUUGGCUGUCCAGGCUCUUGGAAGACUGAAGGGGACAGAAGCCAUUCUAUUGGACUACUGGGCAUGUAAUUUAUCUUUAGUGGGGCUGCUGGUAACCACACUAAUAAUUUUUUCUUCCAUUCACAGAAGUCAGACACACCUUCCCAGCCUGCUGUACAGACAGGUGCUGGAACUCUGCCUUAAGCCAGGACGGGCCUGUCAGGGUCCCUGGACAUCGAGUCACCCAACUGUAGCUGCUCCUUGGGUGCAAACACUCCUGAACCUCUCAACCUGU